GAAAUGCGAUAAGUAAUGUGAAUUGCAGAAUUCAGUGAAUCAUCGAAUCUUUGAACGCACAUUGCGCCCGCCAGUAUUCUGGCGGGCAUGCCUGUUCGAGCGUUAUUUCAACCAUCAAGCCCCCGGCUUGUGUUGGGGACCUGCGGCUGCCCGCAGGCCCUGAAAAACAGUGGCGGGCUCGCUGUCACACCGAGCGUAGUAGCAUACAUUCUCGCUCAGGGCGUGCUGCGGGUUCCGGCCGUUAAACGACCUUCAUAACCCAAGGUUGACCUCGGAUCAGGUAGGAAGACCCGCUGAACUUAAGC
rnacentral:misc_RNA from 1 species